GAACGCUGGCGGCAGGCCUAACACAUGCAAGUCGAACGGUAACAGGAAGAAGCUUGCUUCUUUGCUGACGAGUGGCGGACGGGUGAGUAAUGUCUGGGAAACUGCCUGAUGGAGGGGGAUAACUACUGGAAACGGUAGCUAAUACCGCAUAACGUCGCAAGACCAAAGAGGGGGACCUUCGGGCCUCUUGCCAUCGGAUGUGCCCAGAUGGGAUUAGCUUGUUGGUGGGGUAACGGCUCACCAAGGCGACGAUCCCUAGCUGGUCUGAGAGGAUGACCAGCCACACUGGAACUGAGACACGGUCCAGACUCCUACGGGAGGCAGCAGUGGGGAAUAUUGCACAAUGGGCGCAAGCCUGAUGCAGCCAUGCCGCGUGUAUGAAGAAGGCCUUCGGGUUGUAAAGUACUUUCAGCGGGGAGGAAGGGAGUAAAGUUAAUACCUUUGCUCAUUGACGUUACCCGCAGAAGAAGCACCGGCUAACUCCGUGCCAGCAGCCGCGGUAAUACGGAGGGUGCAAGCGUUAAUCGGAAUUACUGGGCGUAAAGCGCACGCAGGCGGUUUGUUAAGUCAGAUGUGAAAUCCCCGGGCUCAACCUGGGAACUGCAUCUGAUACUGGCAAGCUUGAGUCUCGUAGAGGGGGGUAGAAUUCCAGGUGUAGCGGUGAAAUGCGUAGAGAUCUGGAGGAAUACCGGUGGCGAAGGCGGCCCCCUGACGAAGAC
rnacentral:rRNA from 1 species